GAUGAACGCUGACAGAAUACUUAACACAUGCAAGUCAACUUGAAUUUGGGUUUUUAACUUAGGUUUGGGUGGCGGACGGGUGAGUAACGCGUAAAGAACUUGCCUCACAGCUAGGGACAACAUUUGGAAACGAAUGCUAAUACCUAAUAUUAUGAUAAUAGGGCAUCCUAUAAUUAUGAAAGCUAUAAGCGCUGUGAGAGAGCUUUGCGUCCCAUUAGCUAGUUGGAGAGGUAACGGCUCACCAAGGCGAUGAUGGGUAGCCGGCCUGAGAGGGUGAUCGGCCACAAGGGGACUGAGACACGGCCCUUACUCCUACGGGAGGCAGCAGUGGGGAAUAUUGGACAAUGGACCGAGAGUCUGAUCCAGCAAUUCUGUGUGCACGAUGAAGUUUUUCGGAAUGUAAAGUGCUUUCAGUUGGGAAGAAACAAAUGACGGUACCAACAGAAGAAGUGACGGCUAAAUACGUG
rnacentral:rRNA from 1 species